rnacentral:rRNA from 1 species
UACGUAGGGCGCAAGCGUUGUCCGGAAUUAUUGGGCGUAAAGAGCUCGUAGGUGGUUUGUCGCGUCUGUCGUGAAAGCCCAUGGCUUAACUCUGGGCGUGCGGUCGAUACGGGCAUCACUAGAGUUCGGCAGGGGAGACUGGAAUUCCUGGUGUAGCGGUGAAAUGCGCAGAUAUCAGGAGGAACACCGGUGGCGAAGGCGGGUCUCUGGGCCGAUACUGACGCUGAGGAGCGAAAGCAUGGGUAGCGAACAGG